UACCAUCUGUGGCAUUAUGGAUGAAAACAAAAGCAUUUGCCAAGAAUGUUUUCAUUAAUCAAGAAUAAAAGUCGGAGGUUCGAAGACGAUCAGAUACCGUCGUAGUUCCGA